UACGUAGGGGGCUAGCGUUGUCCGGAAUCAUUGGGCGUAAAGCGCGUGUAGGCGGUCCGGUAAGUCCGCUGUGAAAGUCGGGGGCUCAACCCUCGGAUGCCGGUGGAUACUGUCGGGCUUGAGUACGGAAGAGGCGAGUGGAAUUCCUGGUGUAGCGGUGAAAUGCGCAGAUAUCAGGAGGAACACCAAGUGCGAAGGCAGCGCGCUGGGACGUUACUGACGCUGAGACGCGAAAGCGUGGGGAGCAAACAGG
rnacentral:rRNA from 1 species